AUCUUAUAUAUAUCUUAUUUAUUUCUCUUCUUUUUUUCUUGUUGUAUAUUCUCUUAUGUUAUCUCUUUUUCUCUUCCCACAACCAAAAGAUACCCUUAACUCAAGUUCUAUAUCAUUCAAGUUCUUGGUUAAUUCUCAAUUCCAUCUACCUAUUGAUGUAAAUUGUCAUGAGAUUAAUGAUUCUUCGUAGUUGCAAAAUUUUGAAUGAUCUGAACUAUGGUUUAGACUGUUUAGUGCCCAUUCCUCCCCCCAAUUGUGUAUUUCUUUUUGGAAUAUCAGAUGAUUAUUGGACAGAGAUAUUAAUAUUUGAUAAUUAGUUGUCUCCAACCCUAAAGUAGUUAUGAAAAUUUGUUGCUCGAGUUGUAGAAAUCAUUGUUUGCCACGUGCUUCUCCAGCAGUUUUUUCUGUUUAUUCAACUGGUUUUGCUGACUGCAUAUAUCAACUUUUUUGCAGAACCAGAUAAUGGUGGUGACUUCCUUGUUUACAAUAGAUGGGAAAGCGUAGGUGUAAAGGGACAAGACAAGAUACAUGGCCCUUUUAAAUCAUGUGAGAGUGCCAUUCAGGAAUUUGAACAAAAGUUUUUAGCCAAGACCAAGAAUGCUUGGUCCAGUAGGAAUAAUUUUGUUUGCUAUCCUAAAAGUUAUGCUUGGUUGGAAAUGGACUACAGUGGCAAGGAAAAUGAAUCUACUGCAUUCUUAUAGAGUAAACUUCACUCUUUUCUUGCCAAUGGUGAAUUGGCAAUUGGUACUGUCUUUACUUGGAGUGUUAAUGGUGGAUGGGGAGCAAAAGGAGGAAGAAACUAUUUCGAUUGGUCAUUCUAAACACUUGGAUAUUGCUUUUAGGUUACAGAAAAUCCUGACCAUGCUUUAGGAAAGCAGCCUCAGGAAUCUAAACUUGAGCCACGUGUUGCAAAAUUUAUAUCUCUUGUUUGCAAUGUGAGCAUGAUGAAUCAAUGAUAUGCUUGACAUUCUGUUGAUUAAUUUAAAUCAAUGAUAUGGUUUCCUUAGAUUCAACUUAUGACAGUCAAUACUCAUUAUCAUGUAUCUGAAUUCCUCAUUCUAGAAUUCUGAUAUUGUCUCAUUCAAUAUUCUUUAUCUACUUAAACUGUGGGAUCCUUACUUUAGGGUACAAUGCGAAGAAGUUGCCCCUUGGAAAAUUGAGCAAAUCAACAAUUUUGAAGGGCUAUGAAGUUCUCAAAAGAUUGGCUAAUGUGAUUGAUAAAGGUGAUAGGAAAGUUCUGAAACAAUUAAGUGGAGAAUUCUACACUGUAAUUCCUCAUGAUUUUGGAUUCAAAAAAGUGAGUUUGUGAUCGAUACCCCUCAGAAGUUAAAACGAAAGUUAGAAAUGGUUGAGGCUCUUGCUGAAAUUGAGGUUGCCACAAAGCUCUUGAAAGAUGACGCAGAAAUGCAGGGAGAUCCUCUGUAUACUCAUUAUCAACGCCUUCAUUGUGAACUGGCACCAGUUGAAUUUGGUUGUGUGGAAUUUUCUAUGAUUGAAGAGUAUACGAAGAACACUCAUGCAGAAACACAUUCAAACUAUACUGUGGAUAUUGUUCAAAUAUUCAGGACAUCAAGAGAAGGCGAGGCAGAACGGUUCAGAAAGGUUUGGCACUGUGGCUAAUGCAUCAUUGAAUAAGGAUCUUCCUCCCUUAAUUUUUCUUCUACACAAAAGGAUUAGGAGGUACUGCUCUUGAUCCUUCAAAAGCUCAGGAACUUGAGGAUGGGCUCGUAGUUCCCCUAGGAAAGCCCAAAACAGAAUCAGGCAAAAAGGGCGAUCUAUUGUACAAUGAAUACAUUGUUUAUAAUGUGGAGCAGAUUAGGAUGCGCUAUAUUGUUCACUUAAAUUUCAAUUUUAAGACUACAAGUUAGCAUCCAAACGAUUACUAUGUUAUUUGUAACUUCAUCAUCUUCUAGUUCGCAAAGCCAAUCAGCGAUGAUUAUUAUCAAUGUCAAGUAUUUUUACACCGAAAAGUGAUGAAGUUUGCACUGUUGCUAAGAAAAUGAAGUCAAAGGCUAGCCAGUGCUUUCGUAUCUGUGGUAAUAUCGUAAGCCAAAAGAAACAAAUGGAAACUAGGAUGACAUAAUUAAGCGAGGCAAGAAAUAUGAAUAAAAUCGCUAUAAAUAUAGCGAAAUUUGGUUUUGAAUUUUUAAUACUUCAAUUUCUUUUUUAGUUUUAGUUCUUUUAAUUUUUUAAAUGUUAUUUUUGUAAUGAUGUACAUGCAUUUAACACGUUAUGUUUGUGAACGAUCGAUAACAUGGUAAGUGUCUUGGUA